UAACAAGGAUUCCCCUAGUAACUGCGAGUGAAGCGGGAACAGCUCAAGCUUAAAAUCUCCUAGUGGUAAAAGACUAGGCGAGUUGUAGCUUAUGGAGGUGGGAUUGAUCAGUGGAAGUAAGGUAGUAAAAGUGCUUUUGAAUAAGCCAUCAGAGAGGGUGAAAAUCCCGUAUUUGACUAUUUUUAUUUUCAUGAUGAGAACCAUUUUCUUUGAGUCGGGUUGUUUGGGAAUGCAGCCCUAAUUAGGAGGUAAAUUUUCUUCUAAAGCUAAAUAUAAGCAAGAGACCGAUAGCAAACAAGUACCGUGAGGAAAAAUAAACACCCCUUUGAAAAAAAANUGAAAAGUACGUGAAAUUGUUGAAAGGGAACCGGUUAGUANCCAAGCAUCACAAUUAAAGCGGGUAAAAGCGAGUUAAUAGUGGGGUCAACAUCAGUUGUUUAUUACGGGCCUGAAAGGAAGUUGGGAUUGUUAAAGGAGUAAGGUAGGGUGACUAGUGUUUGGAAGGUGGAAUUUAUUUCAUUUUUUAAACUAUAUAGCUAGUUAUCUGUUAUAGACUCUGUAAACAAGCGUUAAUAGCCUGGGGGUUUGGAUGACUGAGGAAGGCAGUGUAAAUUCUAAUAGUUAAAUAUUGGGAUUUUUCAGAUAUUUGUUUUGGGUAUUUGCUUUUAAUAUUUAGGUAGACAGCUUGCUGACUAUUUAGAUUUAGGGGUAUAUUCUGGGGAUAAAUAUUUCGAAAAUAGCACUAAGGAAGUUGGCGAAAAGCACUACUCGU
rnacentral:rRNA from 1 species